GUUGCGGCAACUUUUCCAGACGGGGAUAGUCGAAUGACUGUAAGAAAGAAAGCUUAACACCAAGAUCAAGAUAAACAGUCAUAAACGCAUUCACACACAUAUAUCUGCAUUUGAGCUUACUGAUUAUUUUUGUGAAGAAAAACAAAUUACGAACUUAAUCAAAAGUAAUUGAUACAAAGUAAAACUUAUAUAUUACGUUGUUGUAUUAGUGAGAAUACAAGGUGUUUAUCACAAAUGUUAAUUCACCUGAUUGGGUGGAGCUUACGUUUUGAUUAACAUAAGGACAGUCUAAUGAGUGUAUGAUGUGGACAGUUCACUGAUGAGUGUAUAAAACACCUAUAUAUAGAUGAACUAGUCUAUUAUGAGCAAACCGAUAAAACUCUGCCCAGUCAAGUAACAGAAAUCAAGCAGUACUUGCUGCCAUUGCAAGUUUUGCUAUUGCGGCAGUAUAUUAGUGAUAUAACAAGGUGUAUACUUCCUGGUGUUGCAAGUUGUACUAUUGGGAAAUAUGAAUACUUCAUCGAUGUGUAUUAGUCAGAAUACACGAUGUAUACUUGCUGGUGUUGCAAGUCGUUAUAUUGUGGAAGUUUAUAAGUGAAAGUCAACUGUGUUUAAUUUUACCAGUUUGGAAUAUAUUCAUUUGGUUCAGAUUCAAAGUGAUAAACAGUGUAAAGUAAAAUCACAAAACUACUGAGCUCCGAGGAAAACGGAAAGUCCCUAAUUAAAUGACAAAAAAACCCCACAUCAAACGAAUGGACAACAACAACUUAACAAACAGACAUUACAGGAGAUUAUCCGAUUGUGUAGAAUAGUUUCUUCAAAUCAGAAGCAUAUCUUUUGGAUGAACUUUUGUAAACAGGUAUAUUCAAAUAACUGUUAUUAAACAUGCAAAACACCACGAUAAAACACUUAACUGGACAAUUAUUCUUCCUUUGAUAACGGCGCACUUGUAUGUAGUUUAGUUUUGUAAAUAAUAUUUCCUAAAAAUAAUUAAUUGCAAAUAAAAUGUCGUUUUUCAAUUGCAUGGAAAGUUUUCAACUAA